CCAAGAAACUUGACUUUGUUCAGUUUCAGUUACAAGGAGCAGAGAUCCAGAUAGGAACCAUAGCACCACACCCACCAUGGCAGGCCACCUCCUUUGCCUGUGAUUGGUCAGGCAUGAGCAUGUGACCCAACCCUGGCCAAUGAGAUAUAAGAGGAAGUGCCUGGAGGCUAUGGGGAAAUUUUUUCAAAGUCCAAAGACAAGCAGGUCCUUCCCCCUGCCUCCUCUUUCUGCCAUGGAUGCUGUGAUGUCUAGAUGGGACGCUUGGGGCUGCCACAGCCCUCCAGUGACGGUUAAGGCCUAGAGAACUGCAGAGUGUCCGUAAGCAUCCAAACAGAUCCAUCUCAAGAGGCUCCAAUUCUUCUCCUCCCGGUGUGUGCACCUUGGUGGGCCAAGUGUGACUCCAGUGUGUAAAGACAUAACGUGGCCCCUAAAGUCAAGGCAGCUACUUCACCUGGGUGGUAGCUGAGGAGAGACCGCAACUAUGUCGGAGGACCUCCCACUCUGUGGGGGCAGCUGUGCCUUUCCUGCUUCGGGGCUGACUGCUUGCCUACCUGUGCCUGUGGUCCAGCACAGCCUGGUGACUUGAGGAAGCCUGAACACACCGCGCUGCCGUCUCUGCGUUUCCUUCCUGCUGGUCUCUGCCCAGAAUGCCCUCUCUACCCGCUCCCACCUACUAACCCUUGUUUCCCCAGCUCCCAGCACACAUCAGGCCAACCACAGAAGGUCUCCUUAACUCAAUAAUGACAAAAUAAAUAACCCAGUUAAAAAACAGGCAGAGGACCUGAACAUUUGUCUAAAAAAGAUAUACAAAUGACUAAUAAACACAUGAGGAGAUGCUCAA